UGUAGCUCAUUGGUAGAGCAUCUGGUUGCAACCCAGCAGGUAGUCAGUUCGAUUCUGACC
rnacentral:ncRNA from 15 species